UAAAGUUAUUCUUCUCGGUGUAGCUAGCGCAUGCAAGCCUAGCAGCUUCCUGCUAGCUACGAUCAAGAUCAGCCUUGUCCUGCCUGUGGCAUCCAUGGUCUCUCUCGUCGUUGGAUGAUCGACUAACCUUGAGAUAUCACCAGCUCUUUAGACCCAGCCAGUCUUUGUACGAGCGCGACGGAAAUUACGUACGUACGUACCAAAUGAGAAAUGACUACACGCACGGCGCCAUGUUUAGUUUACCACAGAAGCUAGGGAAGGCAGGCCAUGGCGGCAGGCAACGGGCAACAGAUCGAAGAGAGUCACAGACUGCUUUUGCUGUAGCAGAUGGACGGUGCGAUUUGGACAGGAGCAGAUCCUGUGUGGCCCCAGGAUCGUGCCUGUCCUGGUAAUGGCACGCAGGGUUCGAUCGCUUGCAAUCCAAGCCGGAUUCUGAUGGCACUUGCUCCGGUCAUGUGACUACUGUGCAUCGGCACCGGCACCAGGCUACAGAUCGAUAGGGAAUCUCCUUCUUUAUUUCCCUUUUGCUAAUGCACACGGUUAAAUCAAGACAAAGUUACCGCAGGCAUCCAUCGCGUACGUACGAGCACCAGGCUACGAGUGGAUGCCG
rnacentral:lncRNA from 1 species